AUUGAACGCUGGCGGCAGGCCUAACACAUGCAAGUCGAACGAGUGGCGGACGGGUGAGUAAUGUCUGGGAAACUGCCCGAUGGAGGGGGAUAACUACUGGAAACGGUAGCUAAUACCGCAUACCAUCGGAUGUGCCCAGAUGGGAUUAGCUUGUAGGUGAGGUAACGGCUCACCUAGGCGACGAUCCCUAGCUGGUCUGAGAGGAUUACCAGCAACACGGGAACUGAGCAAGGGUCCAAAUCCUUACGGUAGGCAGCAGGGGGGAAUAUUGCAUAAUGGGCGGAAGUCUGAUGCACCCAGGCCGCGUGGAUGAAGAAGGCCUUCGGGUUUUAAAGUACUUUCAGAGGGGAGGCGUUACCCGCAGAAGAAGCACCGGCUAACUCCGUGCCAGCAGCCGCGGUAAUA
rnacentral:rRNA from 1 species